UCUGAUACUGGUGGGAUGCGGGAGGUCCCCAGACACUGGGGGAAUCUCGACCCCAGCUGUGGUGUCCAGGCUCUUGACACCACCUCAAGAAUGAAGUGAAGGAUGAGUCAGCAAAUAGUGAAAGAAGAGAUUUAUUGCAAAGCAAAAAGUACGCACUCAAGAAAGGGGAGUUUGGUAUAUCCAAGACAGAACAAUGGGUUCUGGGGUUUCAUCUUGAUGGGUUUCUUCAACCAAGGAGUGGAAUAUUCAUGAAAAUUCCCAGGUAAAAGUGGAAAUUUCUCGGAACUGUGGUGCGAUCCAUUUUUACAUCAAAUAAUGAUCUCAGAACCGUCAUGGCACUGGUAGAAUAUAAAAAACUAACACAAGGUAAGGGCUAAGGUCUGGAGAUGGCUGCCCAAGAGAUGACAAAGUCCAACACCACGCUUGAGAGUGUCCAACCAUCUCUUCUGGGGCAGCACAGUUUUCUACAAUCCUGAAUUUGGAAAACAAGCAACAAGAUUCAUGAAACUGGACAACUGUCUUUAUAACAUUACCAGUGAUAAAACCAGUAAGGAAGGCUGGUUUGCAGUCAUCCGACCUGCCUCUUUACUUUCAUAAAUACGGUUUCUCUCUGAUAGUAAACGGCUUCCAAUUUCAAGCGGAAUGCUACAUCACAAGGAUAA